UGGGGAAUAUUGGACAAUGGGCGGAAGCCUGAUCCAGCAACGCCGCGUGAGGGAUGACGGCCUUCGGGUUGUAAACCUCUUUCAGCACCGACGAAGCGGGAGUGACGGUAGGUGCAGAAGAAGGACCGGCCAACUACGUGCCAGCAGCCGCGGUAAUACGUAGGGUCCGAGCGUUGUCCGGAAUUAUUGGGCGUAAAGGGCUCGUAGGCGGUUUGUCGCGUCGGGAGUGAAAUCACCGGGCUUAACUUGGUGCUUGCUUUCGAUACGGGCAGACUGGAGGUAUGCAGGGGAGAACGGAAUUCCUGGUGUAGCGGUGAAAUGCGCAGAUAUCAGGAGGAACACCGGUGGCGAAGGCGGUUCUCUGGGCAUGACCUGACGCUGAGGAGCGAAAGUGUGGGGAGCGAACAGG
rnacentral:rRNA from 1 species